AACGAACGCUGGCGGCAGGCUUAACACAUGCAAGUCGAACGCAUCGCAAGAUGAGUGGCAGACGGGUGAGUAACGCGUGGGAACAUACCCUUUUCUACGGAAUAGCUCUGGGAAACUGGAAUUAAUACCGUAUACGCCCUUUACUGGUGGACAGUUUAGGGGAAAGAUUUAUCGGGGAAGGAUGGGCCCGCGUUGGAUUAGCUAGUUGGUGGGGUAACGGCCUACCAAGGCGACGAUCCAUAGCUGGUCUGAGAGGAUGAUCAGCCACAUUGGGACUGAGACACGGCCCAAACUCCUACGGGAGGCAGCAGUGGGGAAUAUUGGACAAUGGGCGCAAGCCUGAUCCAGCCAUGCCGCGUGAGUGAUGAAGGCCUUAGGGUUGUAAAGCUCUUUCACCGAUGAAGAUAAUGACGGUAGUCGGAGAAGAAGCCCCGGCUAACUUCGUGCCAGCCGCCGCAGUAA
rnacentral:rRNA from 1 species